AUACGUAGGGCGCGAGCGUUGUCCGGAAUUAUUGGGCGUAAAGAGCUCGUAGGCGGCUUGUCGCGUCUGCCGUGAAAGCCCGUGGCUUAACUGCGGGUCUGCGGUGGAUACGGGCAGGCUUGAGGCUGGUAGGGGCAAGUGGAAUUCCUGGUGUAGCGGUGAAAUGCGCAGAUAUCAGGAGGAACACCGGUGGCGAAGGCGGCUUGCUGGGCCAGUUCUGACGCUGAGGAGCGAGAGCGUGGGGAGCGAACAGGAUUAGAUACCCUGGUAGUCCACGCUGUAAACGUUGGGCGCUAGGUGUGGGGGUCUUCCACGGUUCCUGUGCCGUAGCUAACGCAUUAAGCGCCCCGCCUGGGGAGUACGGCCGCAAGGCUAAA
rnacentral:rRNA from 1 species